rnacentral:rRNA from 1 species
CCUACGGGAGGCAGCAGUAAGGAAUAUUGGUCAAUGGAGGCAACUCUGAACCAGCCAUGCCGCGUGCAGGAAGACUGCCCUAUGGGUUGUAAACUGCUUUUAUCCGGGAAUAAACCUGCUUACGUGUAAGUAGCUGAAUGUACCGGAAGAAUAAGGAUCGGCUAACUCCGUGCCAGCAGCCGCGGUAAUACGGAGGAUCCAAGCGUUAUCCGGAUUUAUUGGGUUUAAAGGGUGCGUAGGCGGCCUGUUAAGUCAGGGGUGAAAGACGGUAGCUCAACUAUCGCAGUGCCCUUGAUACUGAUGGGCUUGAAUGGACUAGAGGUAGGCGGAAUGAGACAAGUAGCGGUGAAAUGCAUAGAUAUGUCUCAGAACACCGAUUGCGAAAGGCAGCUUACUAUGGUCUUAAUUGACGCUGAGGCACGAAAGCGUUGGGGGAGUACAACAAGAUAGUAUACCUACGGUAGUACCGACCGACCCUAACCGAACUAGAACACUCGCUGUUGGUCGACUACACAGUC